rnacentral:rRNA from 1 species
AUAGGUGGCAAGCGUUAUCCGGAUUUAUUGGGCGUAAAGCGUGCGUAGACGGUUUUGCAAGUCUGAGGUUAAAUUUAGGGGCUCAACCCCUAACCGCCUUGGAAACUACAUUACUAGAGUAUAGGAGAGGUUAGUGGAAUUUCAUGUGUAGCGGUGGAAUGCGUGGAUAUAUGAAGGAACACCAGUGGCGAAGGCGGCUAACUGGCCUAUUACUGACGUUGUGGCACGAAAGCGUGGGAGCAAAUAGGAUUAGAUACCCCUAGUAGUCCACGCCGUAAACGAUGAGUACUAAGUGUUGCCAUGAGGCAGUGCUGUAGUUAACGCAUUAAGUACUCCGCCUGAGUAGUAUGCUCGCAAGAGUG